UCAGUUUCUGAACCUGUAUGCUAACUGAAAGACUGCUAUUGAAAGGGUAUGCUGAACUUCUGAGUGUCUGCUGCUGUAUCCCACCCCGCAGACAUAUCCAGAGAGAACGAACUUCUCAACCCACAACCUGACAGCUGUUCUGCAAAAUGGGCACUUGGAUGACUUACAACCAUAACAACAUACAAAAACCAUAAAACAACAAAAUUAAUACAGUGAAGCAACAGCAGCGGAGAAAUAAAUAUCAAUGAACAACACUAUGAAAAUUGCAGUCAAAUAGCACUGUCUUCACUUGCUGUCUGAAUGCAUUCAGGGAAGUGGCUAGCUGAAUCUCUCUUAGCAGUGAAUUUCAGUGUCUGGGUACUGCUACUGAAAAUGGGUCAACACAUGCAGGAUUGUAACAAUGCCUCUCAUGUUGGAUGCAGUUUGUGGGCAGUGUACACAACUGCUAAUCCCAUCAUGACUAUCACAAUCUGAUGGCAGAAGUGGUUAAGUGAAGCUAUGUGAUUUUGUGAGAAAUGUGAGAGACUACAGUGAUGGCAUUAUACUGCAGAACAAUCUGUCAUGGGGUGAGGAAGGGAGAGUAAUAACAAAUAGACAAAGAGCAUCAAAUCAUCCAGAAUGUGACACAUACCUAUCAAGCAUCUUACAUUAUGAGGAGCAUCUCACAUUUGUUUUCAUUUUUUUUAAGUUAUCCUGCCUUCUCUCCCUGGGUGUGCAAAAUUCUAUAAUUUCAUUUUUUCUCAACUGCUUCAACCUAUGCAUAGGAAAGACAGAACUUUGUGGAUUUUGCAGCAUUCUUCAUUAAUGAUGGACAUGGUUCUGUCCUGCAUGAAUUGCAUAUGCUACAUUGAAACAUCUGUCCUUUCAAGAUCUUAAUCUUUGGUUGCGUGCAGGAUUAAAUCACACUACAAAAUUAUUAUGUUAGUGACCUUAACAUUUCACAAUAGAAAGCAAUAGAUUUGUUCUGUCAUCAUCUAUGUUUGAUGAACCACUUUUUUGGUAGAGCAUCUCUUUCUGCUGCAUCAAUGGAGAUUUGCUACCCUUGAUUGGAUACAACAGUAGAUAACUGAACAACUAUAAUUGGUGUAAGAGGUCUAAUAAAAUAUGUCAUAUUUCCUGUCGUUUGUGAUCAACAUGGCAGCUUCGGCAAUUAGCAUCUCCCUGUCAAUACAGCAAGUUCUACAUUUCUCAAUAAAA